rnacentral:SRP_RNA from 1 species
GCCAGGCAUGGUGGCGCAUGCCUGUAAUCCCAGCUACUCAGGAGGCUGAGGCAGGAGAAUCACUUGAACCCAGGAGGUGGAGGUUGCAGUGAACUGAGAUCACGCCACCGCACUCCAGCCUGGGUGACAGAGUGAGACUCCGUCUCAA